GCCUCACGGUCAGCGGCUGUCAGCCGAUGCCCCCGCUUCGCAGCCAGGGACACCAGUCAGGCCCCGAGUCUCACCAGUCACCAAUAGGGCCAAGGUUCUCCAUCUCAUGUCAUCAGCCUGGACCCUGCUAUACAUGAAGUCUCCUUUCCUGCCAGUACAGGGCAUGGUUACCAGAACUUGAGAGCUUGAAGCCUAGCAUCCUUUGGAAGGAAGGGAAUCAAUGUAAAGGCUGAGAAGUGGAAGAAUCCUCGACAAAAGAAACCUGGUUAUAUAGUAUUAUUGUCUUGCUGGCUGGAAGGUAUGUCCUUUUGCCCUACAUUGUCUUUCUCUGAAACCAGGCGCCUUAGUUUUUUUGACAAGUGGCUUGGUUGCUUGUUCUGAAUUCAAGGAACUAAGGAGAGUUUUGCUCCAGCUCCUGCUCCUCUGUGGUACCUGUUUCAAUGUUUUGCUGGUCGCUGGACCCAGGACUGCAUAAAGGGUAAUAGUUUCCAGUAUGCUGUUCCUCAU